rnacentral:lncRNA from 1 species
AUGCUGGCAAACCGGAGUUGGGGAAGUGGAGCUUCACGAUUACACACGAGUUCAUUAGAAAUAGCACUUCGUGGCCUGCGCGAGGAGAGCCCUCAGAAGCCGCUCUGGAUGCGCGUUCCUCGGCCAGGAGCCGCCAACCCCGCACCCUGCAGAGCCCCGACGCUCUGCAGAGCAGAGGGAACGGGGCGCUGCUCUCCCGCAGCUGCGGUGGAGUUACCGGAGCUCCGACGGGGAAAUCUUUACGAUUAUUCAGGCGUGGGCCCAAUAUCGGCAGUCACCAUCCUGCUGCUCCCACUGCCCGAACGCACCGGGACGGCUUCCCAGAGGAUAAAUGUCACCGCGAGCUGCAGCAGCAGAAGCCGGGGGCGCGGGCGGCCAGGUAAUAGCAAGACUAAAACAACUGGGGGGAAAAGGGGGCAGCAGCCGCUGAGCGACAGAAAUGUGGGGGGAAAAGGCUUGAGAACGCACCUGGCAGGAAGAUUUCAGAAACCCAACGGAGGGGCUGCGUUAACAGACGAGCCUGUUUGA